rnacentral:rRNA from 1 species
AAAACGGAGAGUUUGAUCCUGGCUCAGGAUGAACGCUGGCGGUAUGCUUAACACAUGCAAGUCGAACGGGCUUUUCGGAGCUAGUGGCGGACGGGUGAGUAACGCGUAAGAAUCUGGCUUUGGGUCGGGGACAACCACUGGAAACGGUGGCUAAUACCGGAUAUGCCGCAAGGUAAAAGGCUUGCCGCCUGAAGAUGAGCUCGCGUCUGAUUAGCUAGUAGGUGUGGUAAGAGCGCACCUAGGCGACGAUCAGUAGCUGGUCUGAGAGGAUGAUCAGCCACACUGGGACUGAGACACGGCCCAGACUCCUACGGGAGGCAGCAGUGGGGAAUUUUCCGCAAUGGGCGAAAGCCUGACGGAGCAAUACCGCGUGAGGGAGGAAGGCUCUUGGGUUGUAAACCUCUUUUCUCAGGGAAGAAGUUCUGACGGUACCUGAGGAAUAAGCAUCGGCUAACUCCGUGCCAGCAGCCGCGGUAAUACGGAGGAUGCAAGCGUUAUCCGGAAUGAUUGGGCGUAAAGCGUCCGCAGGUGGCCUUGUAAGUCUGCUGUUAAAGAGUGAGGCUCAACCUCAUACAAGCAGUGGAAACUACACGGCUAGAGUGCGUUCGGGGUAGAGGGAAUUCCUGGUGUAGCGGUGAAAUGCGUAGAUAUCAGGAAGAACACCGGUGGCGAAAGCGCUCUGCUAGGCCGCAACUGACACUGAGGGACGAAAGCUAGGGGAGCGAAUGGGAUUAGAUACCCCAGUAGUCCUAGCCGUAAACGAUGGAUACUAGGCGUGGCUUGUAUCGACCCGAGCCGUGCCGUAGCUAACGCGUUAAGUAUCCCGCCUGGGGAGUACGCAGGCAACUGUGAAACUCAAAGGAAUUGACGGGGGCCCGCACAAGCGGUGGAGUAUGUGGUUUAAUUCGAUGCAACGCGAAGAACCUUACCAAGACUUGACAUGUCGCGAACUUUCCUGAAAGGGAGAGGUGCCUUCGGGAGCGCGAACACAGGUGGUGCAUGGCUGUCGUCAGCUCGUGUCGUGAGAUGUUGGGUUAAGUCCCGCAACGAGCGCAACCCUCGUUUUUAGUUGCCAGCACUUCGGGUGGGCACUCUAGAGAGACUGCCGGUGACAAACCGGAGGAAGGUGGGGAUGACGUCAAGUCAGCAUGCCCCUUACGUCUUGGGCUACACACGUACUACAAUGCUACGGACAAAGGGCAGCUACACAGCAAUGUGAUGCAAAUCCAAAAAACCGUAGCUCAGUUCAGAUCGCAGGCUGCAACUCGCCUGCGUGAAGGAGGAAUCGCUAGUAAUUGCAGGUCAGCAUACUGCAGUGAAUUCGUUCCCGGGCCUUGUACACACCGCCCGUCACACCAUGGAAGCUGGUAGUGCCCGAAGUCAUUACUCCAACCAUUCGUGGGGGAGGAUGCCUAAGGCAGGACUGGUGACUGGGGUGAAGUCGUAACAAGGUAGCCGUACCGGAAGGUGUGGCUGGAUCACCUCCUUU